rnacentral:rRNA from 1 species
GAUGAACGCUGGCGGCGUGCCUAAUACAUGCCAGUCGAGCGAACAGAUGAGGAGCUUGCUCCUCUGACGUUAGCGGCGGACGGGUGAGUAACACGUGGAUAACCUACCUAUAAGACUGGGAUAACUUCGGGAAACCGGAGCUAAUACCGGAUAAUAUAUUGAACCGCAUGGUUCAAUAGUGAAAGACGGUUUUGCUGUCACUUAUAGAUGGAUCCGCGCCGCAUUAGCUAGUUGGUAAGGUAACGGCUUACCAAGGCAACGAUGCGUAGCCGACCUGAGAGGGUGAUCGGCCACACUGGAACUGUGACACGGUCCAGACUCCUACGGGAGGCAGCAGUAGGGAAUCUUCCGCAAUGGGCGAAAGCCUGACGGAGCAACGCCGCGUGAGUGAUGAAGGUCUUCGGAUCGUAAAACUCUGUUAUUAGGGAAGAACAAAUGUGUAAGUAACUAUGCACGUCUUGACGGUACCUAAUCAGAAAGCCACGGCUAACUACGUG